CAACCCCUAUUGUUAGUUGCCAUCAUCCAGUUGGGCACUCUAGCGAGACUGCCGGUAAUAAACCGGAGGAAGGUGGGAUGACGUCAAAUCAUCAUGCCCCUUAUGACCUGGGCUACACACGUGCUACAAUGGUUGGUACAACGAGUUGCGAGUCGGUGACGGCGAGCUAAUCUCUUAAAGCCAAUCUCAGUUCGGAUUGUAGGCUGCAACUCGCCUACAUGAAGUCGGAAUCGCUAGUAAUCGCGGAUCAGCACGCCGCGGUGAAUACGUUCCCGGGCCUU
rnacentral:rRNA from 1 species